AUUGAACGCUGGCGGCAUGCCUUACACAUGCAAGUCGAACGGUAACGGGCCUUCGGGUGCCGACGAGUGGCGAACGGGUGAGUAAUGCAUCGGAACGUACCUUUCAGUGGGGGAUAACGUAGCGAAAGUUACGCUAAUACCGCAUAUUCUGUGAGCAGGAAAGCAGGGGAUCGCAAGACCUUGCGCUGAUUGAGCGGCCGAUGUCAGAUUAGCUAGUUGGUGAGGUAAAGGCUCACCAAGGCGACGAUCUGUAGCGGGUCUGAGAGGAUGAUCCGCCACACUGGAACUGAGACACGGUCCAGACUCCUACGGGAGGCAGCAGUGGGGAAUUUUGGACAAUGGGGGCAACCCUGAUCCAGCCAUGCCGCGUGAGUGAAGAAGGCCUUCGGGUUGUAAAGCUCUUUCGGCCGGGAAGAAAUCGCAUGGGUUAAUACCCUGUGCGGAUGACGGUACCGGCAUAAGAAGCACCGGCUAACUACGUG
rnacentral:rRNA from 1 species